GAGUUUGAUACUGGCUCAGAUUGAACGCUAGCGGCAUGCUUAACACAUGCAAGUCGAACGGUAACAGGCGGAGCUUGCUCUGCGCUGACGAGUGGCGGACGGGUGAGUAAUGCUUAGGAAUCUGCCCAGUAGCGGGGGAUAGCUCGGAGAAAUCCGAAUUAAUACCGCAUACGCCCUACGGGGGAAA
rnacentral:rRNA from 1 species